rnacentral:rRNA from 1 species
GAUGAACGCUGGCGGCGUGCCUAAUACAUGCAAGUCGAGCGAACGGACGAGAAGCUUGCUUCUCUGAUGUUAGCGGCGGACGGGUGAGUAACACGUGGAUAACCUACCUAUAAGACUGGGAUAACUUCGGGAAACCGGAGCUAAUACCGGAUAAUAUUUUGAACCGCAUGGUUCAAAAGUGAAAGACGGUCUUGCUGUCACUUAUAGAUGGAUCCGCGCUGCAUUAGCUAGUUGGUAAGGUAACGGCUUACCAAGGCAACGAUGCAUAGCUGACCUGAGAGGGUGAUCGGCCACACUGGAACUGAGACACGGUCCAGACUCCUACGGGAGGCAGCAGUAGGGAAUCUUCCGCAAUGGGCGAAAGCCUGACGGAGCAACGCCGCGUGAGUGAUGAAGGUCUUCGGAUCGUAAAACUCUGUUAUUAGGGAAGAACAUAUGUGUAAGUAACUGUGCACAUCUUGACGGUACCUAAUCAGAAAGCAACGGCUAACUACGUG